UACGUAGGGUGCAAGCGUUGUCCGGAAUUAUUGGGCGUAAAGAGCUCGUAGGCGGUCUGUCGCGUCGGCUGUGAAAACUCGGGGCUCAACCCCGAGCCUGCAGUCGAUACGGGCAGACUAGAGUGCUGUAGGGGAGACUGGAAUUCCUGGUGUAGCGGUGAAAUGCGCAGAUAUCAGGAGGAAUACCGGUGGCGAAGGCAGCACUCUGGGACGGUACUGACGCUGAGACGCGAAAGCGUGGGGAGCAAACAGG
rnacentral:rRNA from 1 species